rnacentral:rRNA from 1 species
GACGAACGCUGGCGGCGUGCCUAAUACAUGCAAGUAGAACGCACAGUUUAUACCGUAGCUUGCUACACCAUAGACUGUGAGUUGCGAACGGGUGAGUAACGCGUAGGUAACCUGCCUGGUAGCGGGGGAUAACUAUUGGAAACGAUAGCUAAUACCGCAUAAUAUUGAUUAUUGCAUGAUAAUUGAUUGAAAGAUGCUAUUGCAUCACUACCAGAUGGACCUGCGUUGUAUUAGCUAGUAGGUGAGGUAACGGCUCACCUAGGCGACGAUACAUAGCCGACCUGAGAGGGUGAUCGGCCACACUGGACUGAGACACGGCCCAGACUCCUACGGGAGGCAGCAGUAGGGAAUCUUCGGCAAUGGACGAAAGUCUGACCGAGCAACGCCGCGUGAGUGAAGAAGGUUUUCGGAUCGUAAAGCUCUGUUGUAAGAGAGGAACGGGUGUGAGAGUGGAAAGUUCACACUGUGACGGUAUCUUACCAGAAAGGGACGGCUAACUACGUG